AAACGGGCGGCCCGCACUGUUUGGACAUCUAUACAGUUGUGUGCUCUGCCAACAGGUUACUGAAAGAAACACAGUGAUGGGAUGCACCUGCUCUUCUACCGUCUCUUUGCCAUUACUAUUACUACUUUGCAAAUUAAACUGCGACGCAAACGUGUGAUGUCGUUCGUCCAUGUCAGCAUAAAAAACCCGUGCACACGAUUUCUAAUCAAGGGACGCAGUUCCUUCUCAGCCUACCUACGCUUACAACCUUCCAGAAGAUAGGAUUUAGGAUUUUUGGGAUGUAUAUACUACUUUACAAACUGCGACGCAAACAUGUGAUGUCGUUCGUCCACAUCGGCAUAAAAAAACCCGUGCACACAAUUUCUCAUCAACGGACGCAGUUCCUUCUCAACCUACCUACGCCUACAACCUUCCAGAAGAUAGGAUUUUUGGGAUGUACGAAUACCACACCUCUGUCUCCCAAAAGGGCCUCCUCUCAAACGACGACGACGCCAGAGACCAGCGGUCGUGCGUCCUCACUCCUUGUGCGCUAUGGUCGCCUCCACAGGUUCUACAGGGAGUCAGCCCGUGUCGGAACUCGGAAGCUGGUUCGUCCAACACCUUAUGGUCUUUUCUUCUUCUUCAGUAGAGUAGACCGACAUCUAGGGUUUUCCAAUCUCUCGAAUAUUUGCUACCGUGAAUGUCGCCUUCGCGCUCGCUCUUCUCCCUGACCCCGACGAGAGGAAGUCAGUCCAUGUCGGAUCUGAAUGAUGGAGCUGCGACAAGGCGAAGGGCGGAGAGCUUACAUGGCUCCCUCGAGUCAAGAGGAGAUAGGAUUUUUGGUUUGUCAACCAUACCAUCGUUGUUCAAUGCUCUGAUUAAAAUGUGCCUAGCGAUUGAAACCUUCGAUACAUUGGAGCUCGGAGCUGCUGCUCUCAUGCAAAGGCUCCUGAGCGCGAGCGAUCAACAAGCCGACGUGCUGUCGCUGCUCGCUGGGGGGAAAGAAGAUCACACAGGUGUAAAAUAAGAGCUUGCUUCUGCUUACACAACAAAGCUUCAUGCUUCCCAAAUGUGCUACAACCCCUAAAGUACCAGGUAUCACUACUCGGAUAGUAAAAAUGUACAAAGCUUCAUGCUUCGCAAAUGUGCAACUCAUUGAAAAAACAGGAGCAUUCGGCCACUAA